UCCCUCCUCCUCAUCUUCUUCUUCUUGUUGCAGGUUUAGGGAUGUAGGGGGUGCAGGUUUAGGGAUGAGUUUCAAAUAUUAUUAUUUUAAGAAAAUUCAGGUUUUCUAAAAAGAAAUUAAAAAAAUAUUUUUUUUACCACGUGACAGAGAUUUGGCAGUCAUAUGGCAUAUAUGUGGCAGUCACAUCAGCGCUUAACUGAUCAAUGAAUGGAAAAUGUAACGGAGAUAUUAUUUUGAAAUAAAAUAGUGCUUAAGCUAUGAAAAUAAAAUGUUUUAAAGAUGUUCUAAAAAAUUGAAAUCGCCUUAUGAAAGUGUAAUUUACCCAACUAUAUAAGUAUAAGUUGCUCUGUUACUAAUUUUCUAUUAGCAGUAGAAACAAACAAACGAACAAACCAGAAAGCAAAAUGCGAUGGCGGCAAUGAGAUCCGGUGGGAGCCUGGUGUUGCUAACUCGAGCGUUGAUCACUCGCUCCAUGGAGUCGUCUCGGGGAGCUACUCGCUACUUGAGCGCAGGCAAAGGCAAAAUCCUCAGCGAGGAGGAGCGCGCCGCCGAGAAUGUCUACAUCCAGAAGGCUGAUGGAAGCUGAAAUGGUGAUUGGCACUUUGGCAGUACUUGAAAAACUUUUCCUUUGGAUGUAAUCAUGAAUAAUAACACUGUAUAUAACUUAUGUGAGAAUCGCUCUGCGUUGAGUAUCGGUGUUCUUCGUGGCAUCUUUUCUUAAACAUUAAUGGGAUAACUUGGAUUUUUUAUGA